GUAAUUUGGAGAAGGUGUUUCGGAAGAGAGGAUGGUCCAAGUCCCUUGGAACAGGGGGUCGCAGAGGGUGAGAAUCCCGUAUGUGACCAAUCAUGGAUUCCAUGGGAAACCCUUUCGACGAGUCGAGUUGUUUGGGAAUGCAGCUCUAAAUGGGUGGUAAAUUUCAUCUAAAGCUAAAUACCUGCCAGAGACCGAUAGCGCACAAGUAGAGUGAUCGAAAGAUGAAAAGCACUUUGAAAAGAGAGUCAAACAGUACGUGAAAUUGUUGAAAGGGAAGCGCUUGCAAUCAGACUCGUUUGCAGAAGUUCAGCCUUCUUUCGAGAUGGUGUAUUCUUCUGUCAACGGGCCAGCAUCAGUUUCGGCGGUUGGAUAAAGACUUUGAGAACGUAUCUCUCCUCGGAAAGUGUUAUAGCUUGUAAUGCAGCAGUUGAGACUGA
rnacentral:rRNA from 1 species